GGCUGAUGCGAUGAUGAUGCGAGAUGCCCUGCAAGCUGAGGCAGCUUCAGCCCACAGUCAAGCAAUGAACGACUGUUCUACAAGGCUCUAUCUGAGUUUGAAUGGCUUGAUCCAGUCGUGUGCAGACCGCACAGUGGUUGGUAAGUGGGACCAUGUGAUCAGUAGUUGAUUCAUAGAAACGACCAACUGUUCUGUUUUUUGACAGGAAAUUUUUUCUGAUUCGGGUCUUCGUCUCCUCGAAAAAAAAAGGCUCAUGUCUUGAGCUUCUGAUAGUGGAUCAGUGUAACUAUUUAUUCAGCAGACCGGGAUUUCUGGGUACACUUCAAUUGCUUUGUAUGAUAACGGAACACGAUUUAAUCGAAGCUUUCAAGUUUUCUGUC